UACGUAGGUGGCGAGCGUUAUCCGGAAUGACUGGGCGUAAAGGGUGCGUAGGUGGUUUGACAAGUUAGUAGCGUAAUUCCGGGGCUCAACUUCGGAACUACUACUAAAACUGUUGGGCUUGAGUGCAGGAGAGGUGAAUGGAAUUCCUAGUGUAGCGGUGGAAUGCGUAGAUAUUAGGAGAAACACCAGCGGCGAAAGCGAUUCACUGGACUGUAACUGACACUGAGGCACGAAAGCGUGGGGAGCAAACA
rnacentral:rRNA from 1 species